AGGCCAGUUGAAGGUUAAUCAAAUGAGGACACCACGCCAGGGCAUAGACUUUGGAACACAAUCCAUUUGAGCUCUUGCCAUUAACCAAAUCAUGAUAAUUAAAUAUUCAACCCUUGCAUGGAUGGUGCAACCGCAAGCAACCAACUCAAAGGUAAGCUUUUUAGAUAUCCACAUGUUGGGUAUAAAAUACCCCCAGCCGAAGUUCGUAAAAGGCCGACCCUCCCUGAGCUCUUCCGGCUUCCGACCUUGCGCGAUGUCUUUCUGAACUCCCC
rnacentral:lncRNA from 1 species